rnacentral:rRNA from 1 species
AUUGAACGCUGGCGGAAUGCUUUACACAUGCAAGUCGAACGGCAGCACGGACUUCGGUCUGGUGGCGAGUGGCGAACGGGUGAGUAAUGUAUCGGAACGUGCCCAGCCGUGGGGGAUAACGUAGUGAAGAUUACGCUAAUACCGCAUACGAUCUAAGGAUGAAAGCGGGGGAUCGCAAGACCUCGCGCGAUUGGAGCGGCCGGUGGCAGAUUAGGUAGUUGGGGGGGUAAAGGCUCACCAAGCCGACGAUCUGUAGCUGGUCUGAGAGGACGACCAGCCAAACUGGGACUGAGACACGGCCCAGACUCCUACGGGAGGCAGCAGUGGGGAAUUUUGGACAAUGGGCGCAAGCCUGAUCCAGCCAUUCCGCGUGCAGGAUGAAGGCCCUCGGGUUGUAAACUGCUUUUGUACGGAACGAAAAGGCUCUGGUUAAUACCUGGGGCUCAUGACGGUACCGUAAGAAUAAGCACCGGCUAACUACGUGCCAGCAGCCGCAGUAA